AUGCACUCUUUCUCUCUUAAAUCUUGGAAUCAUAAUGCCUUUGUGCUUAAAAUUGAUUUAGUCAAAGCUUUUGAUCAUUUGGAAUGGAAUUUUAUAAUGGCUGCUCUUACACGUAAAGGGUUGCAUGGUCAUUCCAUUAACUUGGUGCAUGCUUGUAUUUCUUUUCCCAUGUUCUCGGUCUUGAUUAAUGGUCAGCCCUCGCAUAAAUUUAGAAGCUUCAGAAGUAUCCGCCAGGGCUGUCCCAUGUCACCUUAUUUGUUUGUCAUUGCUAUCAAUGAAUUAUCUCUUGCUCUUAAUGAGGCUCUGGCUGCUCACCAUUUGCAGGGAAUUUCUCUUGGACCAAACUGCCCUCCUAUUAACUCUUUGUUGUUUGCAGAUGAUUUGUUGGUUUGUGGACACGCAAGUCUUCAAGAGUCUCAUUCUAUGGCUAAUCAUUAACCAUUUUUGUGCCAUCUCAGGAUAAACUCCAAACUGGGCUAA
rnacentral:rRNA from 1 species